AGUUGUGUGAUGCCCUCAAACCUUUAUUCCCAAAAUUGGGGGCUGUGACUGGUGGGUGGCUGCUAUACAAAUCUGCAGGUGGAUGGGGUAGCCAAAAACUCUCUCUUGUGGCUCCUGAUGACACUGGCUAUACAGGCAUGAUCUUGAAGUCUGUAAGUCGUGGGGCUAAAAAUCUAUUCAUAGCCCCAAUUCAAGAGGAACUCAGCACAAAUCCCCUACCACUGACUGAUGAAGCAUUCAGUAGCAUGCCAAAAGCCACAUGUCAGACGUGUGGAGUUGCAGUUCCUGUUCCACUCCUGACGGAACACAUCAAGUCUUGUGGUGUCAUGUAUGUUGGCAGUGAUGAUAACCUGGCUGAUGUGGAAAGCAGUGAGCCUGAAGACAGGAAAUCAGAUAUGCACGAAUGUCCUGUCUGCACAGAAAUGUUUACUACUGACUUUAUUGAGGUACACGCUUCU